rnacentral:lncRNA from 1 species
CUGAUGCUGAAAUAUCAGAAAUGGAAUAGCAUUCUCUGACAGCAAGAAGCUAACAUGUUUGACAAGAAAUGGGAACCAUGAUCAUUUCUAGUCAAACAAGAUGUCUGUUCAUUCAAAGUAUCAAAUGUACCUUCAUUGCCAAAGUUCGAUUCAUUUCGUUACUGACAUAUUCUUUUCUUUCCCCCUUAUCAGGUUUAAAAACUUACAGAGGCACAUGUAUUGGAUUUAUUUUACCAGUGACAGACUGAAGAACAGAUGCCACAGAGAGGAAAGAGGACUAACAAAAAGUGCUUGUCCAUGGAAAUACAUCGUUUUCAUCACUGCUCCCUCCAG